ensembl:lncRNA
AUGGAGGACGUCUACCAUUACACCCGCAGCCCGGCCUGGGAGGAACUGGAACCGGAGAAAGGGCCGGCGUCCGCGGCGGGGAUCCACGCCCAUGCGGUGGGGCCCGUCGCCGGCCCCGGUGCCGCGGACGAGUCGUCCGACAGCGACGCGGAGCAGGAAGGCGCCCAGAAACUCAUCCGGAAAGUGUCCACCUCGGGACAGAUCAGGAGCAAGGUGAGAGACCGCCUGUCUCCGUGUCUGUCUCGGACUCACUGGAAAUGGCUGUUUGAGGGACCUACCUGCAGGGCUUUGGCAGUGUUGUGUGUGUGUUACGGGGGGGGUGUUGCCUCUCAGUAUCGGUGGUCUUUGAGCCUACUGGUCUGUCCUGCGGGUUUACGCAGCAAAGAGGGAAAAAAAGCCCACAACUUAAAUCGUUUUUAGAUGUUGUUUUGGGGGAAAAGUGUAACGCAAGAAACCUGUUGCACCGUAAUCUCUUAAAGUUUAAGUCUGGACCUACAAAGUAGAACUUAUUUGAUGUUUCUUUAAAUAAGAACACAUAUUUCUUCCUUUCUUUGUGUAAAAAGUGUUUUUAAAUCAGCUCGGAUGAUGAGUAGUUCCUGCGUUCGACCCGCACAACUUCUGUCUUGGCCCACUUAUCCUUUACACUUUAAAUGUGUGCCGACCUCCUCACACCAAUAGAUCCACUUAAUUAUUGACUGCCCCGCGCUACACCCCGUCUGCAUUAUUCAGCAUGGAGGUAUAUUUAGAUACUGCUCGGGUCUGGAAUGUCCGGCUCAUACCCUUUCGUUUGAAAAAUCCCCCCACCCUUUGGUGGUGUUUCCUAAUGACCUAUCCCGCAUGGCUGAUCAUUCUUCUUCUUCUUCUAACGCGUUUAUUGGCAGUUUUGUCAACAACUUGAAAAAUGAAUUAAUAAAUUAGAAAUAUCCACACAAAGCCUAAAUUGAAACCAGCAAACUUGAUAUAUGAUUAAUAAUAGAUAUACUAAAUCUGCGAUAGUUGUAUAUCCGUCCUUUGACAGUCACAGCAUUAUUAUGUUCUACUCAGUCAAGCCCACCCUGACGACGGCUGAUAUAAUACAGAAGUGUAAACACAGAUCAGCUGAUGUUUGUUUGCAUGAGAGUCAGGUUGGAUGCGUGCACCUGGGGGGGGACGCUGACCGAGACUUUAACCUGACGCACCAUAAGCAACCGGAUUCAUGUCGCACAUGCAACAGGCAAUGCUGCUGAACACCUCCACUGGGGCUGUUUCAGUGUCUUUAAAAGCUAUCGGAGUUGACGCUUGGGUCAGCGGGUUUUUUGUCAGUGUGUGUGUGUGUGUGUGUGUGUGUGUGUGUGUGUGUGUGUGUGCGGUGAGCUACUAAUGGAUCAUGCAGGCACUGACUCACUGAGUGUUGUUCCACUGGGUUGUUUGCUCAGUGUGUGUGUGUGUGUGCGUGUGUGUUUGGACACGCAUGUACACGCUUGACCAUCACACUGUCCGUGUUCAUCCCUCUCCGUCCGCCAUCUCUCUGCUCCUCUGGUUGCCGCAGACAACCACAUCUUCCGCCCCCCGAUUGGGCGCCGCCACCCUCUCCGCCGCCAGGCAGCUGGUUCAGGUGAACCACAGUCGGUGUUUUGGCGACUGUGUUAUCAGCUCGGGCCUCGCUGCGCUUCCAUUUAGUGUUUGUGAGUUCUGGGUAAAGAUGUCAGUAAAAACAAGCAGACCAGGAGUGGGAAGCAACAACCUGCCAGUUUGCAGGAAUGUCCGAGUUAUCGGCUGAUUUAUUGCAGAUCAAAUAUUGCUAAUGGGGGCUGGUCGUUCACUUGCAGUUUGUCAGAAAUAGGUAUGUCAUUUUAUCACUAUCAAUAUUAAUAUUAUUAAUAAUAUUGUUGAAAAGUUGUAUUUUGUGAAAAUGUGGCAGAAACAAACUGUAACACAGUACAACUCUAUUUGUAGCUAACAUUUCAUCUUUGAUAGCCACUUAAGAACCCAUCAUGGAAAAUCUAUAUAUUGGCAGCUGUGAAUGGUGGUUGCUGUUGUUGUUGUUGUUGUUGUUGUGUGGGCGGAAGCUGAGAUGAGAUAUCGGGCAUGAUUCAUCCCUGCCCCGUCUUCUCCUCUCAGACAGAAAAUAAUGGGAUCCGACCACACGUUGAGGGAAUUUGACGCCCAAUCUUUUGGGCACCAAACACUGUCCUUUCUCUCUCUGCUCCAACAAACAAAUCAAUAAAUGCACUUCACUCAUUGUUAUAAAUGCAUUUUAGCCAUGAGGAAACACGCAAAAGCAUCCGGUGGAAUCGGACUACAUGGUGCUCAAAUGUAUGAGGCGGAAUAGUCUUUUCCUGUCAUCUCUCGACUCAGCGCCCCCCCUCAUCUGCCUCUUCGGGAUGCGCCGCUGCCGCUGGGGAGAGCUUAAGAAACGUGGCAGCGUUUUGGGAGAAGAACACAACAUCCACACACUGAUCAUUGCCCGUAGAAACCUCCAAUAAGUGAGCCAAAGUAGAAACAUGUUCCCAGAGCCUCCCUCAAAGUGUCGGCGUCUCUGCCCACGCCGAUGACUCGUCCUUCCUUCUGAGACAGCGUAGGCAAACACUUGUUUCCUCCUAUUUUUCCUCUCUGUGCCUGAAUGAUUGCGCUGAAAAGAAACUGUACUUAAACAGGAAGAUUUUCCACAUGCUGAUGGUUUGAAGGACUGAGACUGGAGGAAACACGGCUGUAUGAGGGGAUCUCGACUUCCCCGCCUACUGCCUCGCAGAGAUAGUAGCUGUGCAUAAUUAUGUAGCAUCAUCCAACGCGGCGCUGAAGCGAUGUGAAGUGGCCUCCUCACUCCGUCCGAAGCCGUAGCUGAAUCCAAUUAAGGUAAUUGUGUGUAAAUUGCUGGCCUCGGCAACGUUGCUGUAAAUCCCUUCUGCCCGCCUGACACGUGUAUAACUAACUGUACACGUGGUCCAGUCGCACAAAGGGGACGGCAGACAGCAGAACUACCGCUUCCCAACAACUGGAUUGUAAUUUUCCCGUCACCGCGGUGGAAUCGCAGCAGUAAUGUAGCCACAGAGCUACAAUUACACCCGACGGAGAGCACAAACGGGCAAAAGACGGCGACGGGAGGGCCAGGAGCGUAGAGAGAGAUUCGGCGCUGCAGUCUGUGAAAGACCUGAUUGUUGGGGCCCCCACAAGCACUCCGGUCUCACUCGGAAAGGACAAAUGAGUCGUGGGUAAUGGAGGAAUGAGCAGUGGCAGCGCUGUAAUCUCAGCAGCCGGCAGCAGCAUCCGCCAAAGCUCCGGGGGGCAGAUAAGCAGGCGGGUCUUCUUCAUGGGCCGACGCAAUUUCAAUCAGUUCGGUCUCAUCAGUCACGGGUGGAAGUUGCCAGACGGGGGGGAUCAAAGCGUCCUGAGAGACCCCGGUUCUGUAGCAAGAAGGAGUUCCAAUGUUGGAAGAGGAAGAAGAGCCGGCAUGAGCUCCCUCGGCGGCGCGAGGGGUGAGCCUUUUAUUUGGUCCGUCCACUUUUAGCCCGGUCGGCAUUCCGACGGGAUUCUUCUAGGGUUUCCCCUGUGUUUUAAAAUAAAUUCACAUUUUGGGAAAUAUGCUUUUUUUUUGCUUCUCUGUCCGUUCGGUAUAUGACAAUAUAAGGUGAUAGUGUCUUCAUCUGAUUACUAAUAAUACUGGGGUGAAGCCUCGGCUAACGAAUACACAACUGUUAUUUCCAGGGGCUUAUAUAGUAAAGGGCACAUACUUCCAUACUUAUUCAUUUUCUAUUCAGAUAUCAACUUACUUGUAAAGGGAUAGACGAAGUUGGGCGUAGCACUCAGGCCGAUGUCAGUAAGACUGGAACCAAGAGCUCUGUCCUCAAUGAAGAAAGUCCGCCCACCAGCCCGUCUUGUUUAUUUGAUCCAUACAGUUUUGGAGUCCCAGCCGGUUGCCUGGCAACCUCACGGUGACCAGGAGGCUCCACUAAGUCACCGUGUCCUGCCAAGAAUUAGGAACAUAACCCCCUGGAAAAAAAA